CCUACGGGAGGCAGCAGUGGGGAAUUUUGGACAAUGGGCGCAAGCCUGAUCCAGCAAUGCCGCGUGAGUGAAGAAGGCCUUCGGGUUGUAAAGCUCUUUUGUCAGGGAAGAAACGGUCUACUCUAAUACAGUGGGCUAAUGACGGUACCUGAAGAAUAAGCACCGGCUAACUACGUGCCAGCAGCCGCGGUAAUACGUAGGGUGCAAGCGUUAAUCGGAAUUACUGGGCGUAAAGCGUGCGCAGGCGGUUAUAUAAGUCAGAUGUGAAAUCCCCGGGCUCAACCUGGGAACUGCAUUUGAGACUGUAUGGCUAGAGUGUGUCAGAGGGGGGUAGAAUUCCACGUGUAGCAGUGAAAUGCGUAGAUAUGUGGAGGAAUACCGAUGGCGAAGGCAGCCCCCUGGGAUAACACUGACGCUCAUGCACGAAAGCGUGGGGAGCAAACAGGAUUAGAUACCCUGGUAGUCCACGCCCUAAACGAUGUCUACUAGUUGUCGGGAACUUAAUUGUCUUGUACGACAGCACGACGNGAGUAGACGCCGUCGGAGGUACGGUCGCGAGAGUAAACGUUAAAGUAAAGUUAGAGCGUGAGAGNGACGACGGACGACGACGAGGGAGGAGG
rnacentral:rRNA from 1 species